UACAGUUUACAUAAUUUCUUGUAGCAUGUA
rnacentral:piRNA from 1 species